rnacentral:rRNA from 1 species
AACGAACGCUGGCGGCAGGCUUAACACAUGCAAGUCGAGCGCCCCGCAAGGGGAGCGGCAGACGGGUGAGUAACACGUGGGAACGUACCUUUUGCUACGGAAUAGCUCCGGGAAACUGGAAUUAAUACCGUAUGUGCCCUUCGGGGGAAAGAUUUAUCGGCAAAAGAUCGGCCCGCGUCUGAUUAGCUAGUUGGUGGGGUAAUGGCCUACCAAGGCGACGAUCAGUAGCUGGUCUGAGAGGAUGAUCAGCCACACUGGGACUGAGACACGGCCCCGGCUCCUACGGGAGGCAGCAUGGGGGAGUAUUGGACAAUGGGCGCAAGCCUGAUCCAGCCAUGCCGCGUGAGUGAUGAAGGCCUUAGGGUUGUAAAGCUCUUUCGCUAGGGGAGAUAAUGACGGUACCUAGAGAAGAAGCCCCGGCUAACUUCGUGCCAGCAGCCGCAGUAACAC